rnacentral:misc_RNA from 1 species
GUAAAUGAGCUAUUACAGCGGGUCUUUUAUGGCUUUGCUGUGCUGGUUGCUUCCCCUCAUCCGGGAAGCAAUUCAGUAAAUACUCAUUUGUGAACUGUGUUUUGUCUCUGGCGGUUGGGUUUCCUGAUUCGUUAGGAGGCCUGUCAACACUCUAUUGGUGUCGUGGACAAGCCGCCAAAUGUUUACUUUAUAAAUAACGCAUUUUUAAAUUUGUUUGUCUUACCUGUUUUUGUUUUGUAUGCAUAAUACAAAAAA